UAUGUGAUCGUCUCUCGCAUAUCAAUAAGCGGAGGAAAAGAAACUAACAAGGAUUCCCCUAGUAACGGCGAGUGAAGCGGGAAGAGCUCAAAUUUGAAAUCUUAAAGGGUUUCCCUUUACGAAUUGUAGUUUAAAGAAGUGUUUUCUGUUGAGGUUUUGGUAAAAGUUCUUUGGAAUAGGACAUCAUAGAGGGUGAGAAUCCCGUAUUUGACCUUUACUUUCAACUUUGUGAUACACUUUCAAAGAGUCGGAUUGUUUGGGAAUGCAGUCCAAAAUGGGUGGUAAAUUUCAUCUAAAGCUAAAUAUUGGCGAGAGACCGAUAGCGAACAAGUACCGUGAGGGAAAGAUGAAAAGAACUUUGAAAAGAGAGUAAAACAGUACGUGAAAUUGUCAAAAGGGAAGCGUUUGACACCAGUGUUGUUUUUCUGAAAAUCAAUUAAAGAACUGUUUAUGCUAAGUUGUUUAGACUUUAUCAGCUAACUGUUUAGUUUUGAGCUUUUCUUUAAUGCACUUUUCAGUUAACAAGUCAACAUCAAUUUCUUUUGCUGUAAAAAAGCUUGAGGAAGGUGGCUUGAGAUUCGUCUUAAGUGUUUAUAGCCUCUUGCCUAUGCAGUCGGAGAGAUUGAGGUCUGCAGCGUAGAUCCUUCGGGGCUAAAUGCACUUUGUGCUAAGUUAUAGCAUUUUAUAGACAACUUGUUGACUAUGAUUUGUCUUGUAGCUUACUCGCUUAUGUUAUUUUACCUACGCUUAGGAUGUUGAGUAUCGCGCUCUCACUG
rnacentral:rRNA from 1 species